GGCCGAAAGGCGUAGUCGAUGGGAAACAGGUUAAUAUUCCUGUACUUGGUGUUACUGCGAAGGGGGGACGGAGAAGGCUAUGUUGGCCGGGCGACGGUUGUCCCGGUUUAAGCGUGUAGGCUGGUUUUCCAGGCAAAUCCGGAAAAUCAAGGCUGAGGCGUGAUGACGAGGCACUACGGUGCUGAAGCAACAAAUGCCCUGCUUCCAGGAAAAGCCUCUAAGCAUCAGGUAACAUCAAAUCGUACCCCAAACCGACACAGGUGGUCAGGUAGAGAAUACCAAGGCGCUUGAGAGAACUCGGGUGAAGGAACUAGGCAAAAUGGUGCCGUAACUUCGGGAGAAGG
rnacentral:rRNA from 1 species